rnacentral:rRNA from 1 species
AUUGAACGCUGGCGGCAGGCCUAACACAUGCAAGUCGAGCGGAUGAAGGGAGCUUGCUCCUGGAUUCAGUGGCGGACGGGUGAGUAAUGCCUAGGAAUCUGCCUGGUAGUGGGGGAUAACGUCCGGAAACGGGCGCUAAUACCGCAUACGUCCUGAUGGUGAACGUGAGGGAUCUUCGGACCUCACGCUAUCAGAUGAGCCUAGGUCGGAUUAGCUAGUUGGAUGGGUAAAGGCCUACCAAGGCGACGAUCCGUAACUGGUCUGAGAGGAUGAUCAGUCACACUGGAACUGAGACACGGUCCAGACUCCUACGGGAGGCAGCAGUGGGGAAUAUUGGACAAUGGGCGAAAGCCUGAUCCAGCAAUGCCGCGUGUGUGAAGAAGGUCUUCGGAUUGUAAAGCACUUUAAGUUGGGAGGAAGAACAGUAAGUUAAUACCUUGAUGUUUUGACGGUACCAACAGAAUAAGCACCGGCUAACUUCGUG